rnacentral:misc_RNA from 1 species
AAGCUGCGAUACGUAAUGUGAAUUGCAGAAAUCAGUGAAUCAUCGAAUCUUUGAACGCAACUUGCGCUCUUGGGUAUUCCCAGGAGCAUGUCUGCUUGAGUGUCAUUACAACUCUCCUUUUUUUUUUCUUCUUUUCCUUCGGGAGAACGAAACCAAAAAAAAAGGGCUCUGAGCCAAGACAGAUCUCGGCAUCUGUGUGGCUUUAAGAUUGUUGGUGAGGGAGCAAAGAGGGCAUACCUUUUUUUGUUUUCUUCCUAUUACCACCUGAUGUGGCAAAAAAAAAACCUCUCUCUUCUUUACUGCAGGAGAAGCUUUUUAGCAUCUGGUGAGGGAAGAACGAAGAGGAUAGUCGUUUCUCUGUUCUAUUCCAAACUCACUUGUAGUGAAUCUUUUGUGUGUGUGUGCGUGUCUCACACUCACACACGAAAAAACACAACACCUCAACAUGUGACCUCAAGUCAGGCAAGACUACCCGCUGAACUUAAGC